AACGAACGCUGGCGGCAUGCCUAACACAUGCAAGUCGAACGAUUGCCUUCGGGUGAUAGUGGCGCACGGGUGCGUAACGCGUGGGAAUCUGCCCUUAGGUUCGGAAUAACAGCUGGAAACGGCUGCUAAUACCGGAUGAUAUCGCGAGAUCAAAGAUUUAUCGCCUGAGGAUGAGCCCGCGUUGGAUUAGGUAGUUGGUGGGGUAAAGGCCUACCAAGCCGACGAUCCAUAGCUGGUCUGAGAGGAUGAUCAGCCACACUGGGACUGAGACACGGCCCAGACUCCUACGGGAGGCAGCAGUGGGGAAUAUUGGACAAUGGGCGCAAGCCUGAUCCAGCAAUGCCGCGUGAGUGAUGAAGGCCAUAGGGUUGUAAAGCUCUUUUACCCGGGAAGAUAAUGACUGUACCGUGAGAAUAAGCCCCGGCUAACUCCGUG
rnacentral:rRNA from 1 species